rnacentral:rRNA from 1 species
AUUGAACGCUGGCGGCAUGCCUUACACAUGCAAGUCGAACGGUAACAGGUUAAGCUGACGAGUGGCGAACGGGUGAGUAAUAUAUCGGAACGUGCCCAGUCGUGGGGAUAACGUAGCGAAAGCUACGCUAAUACCGCAUACGAUCUACGGAUGAAAGCGGGGGAUCGCAAGACCUCGCGCGAUUGGAGCGGCCGAUAUCAGAUUAGGUUGUUGGUGAGGUAAAAGCUCACCAAGCCUGCGAUCUGUAGCUGGUCUGAGAGGACGACCAGCCACACUGGAACUGAGAAACGGUCCAGACUCCUACGGGAGGCAGCAGUGGGGAAUUUUGGACAAUGGACGCAAGUCUGAUCCAGCAAUGCCGCGUGCAGGACGAAGGCCUUCGGGUUGUAAACUGCUUUUGUACGGAACGAAACGGUGAGCUCUAAUACAGUUUGCUAAUGACGGUACCGUAAGAAUAAGCACCGGCUAACUACGUGCCAGCAGCCGCAGUAA